ensembl:lncRNA
GUUUGACGGUGAACGGGUUUCAGCGUGGAAGGGGGCUGAGGAGUGACAGGUCGUGAGUGCUCUGCCGGAGGACAGGAUCUCAGCAGGCCUGGGGAUGUUGUGAAUGAUGCUGUUGCAGACACAAAACAAAAUCGAUUACUUAUGGAUAAGAUAUCUUGAAGAUCUUUAGGAGAGUGUACAACUACUUGGGGUGCAAGUUGUGGACUGGUGAUCUGGUGACUUGGACUCGAAAUUGAAUCCCGCAGAAACUUGGGAUUCGACGUCGUCUCGAGGCGCCUGUGGUGUGAACAUGCGAGGUAACUCCAGCCUUCAGGACAACAUGUCUGCCAGCCAGGAGGCGGGGAGGAUGAUGAUGACGAGGAGGAGGAAGAGGAGGCAGACGGUGUACACAACAGACCAAGAACCGGGGAGCAAAGAUGUGGGGAUAUCUGCUGUCCGCAGAUUCUGUGUGGAACAGUGUCGUUUGGUGUCGGAGGUCAUAAGCUUACGAAACGCCGACCAGUCUCUGACCUCCUCCUUCAGCUCAGAGAAUGAGUCCCAGGGGGGACGCCCUGCAGGGUGCCACCUGGGCCAUGGGGGCCAGAGGGGUCACGGGGGUCAUCGCCCCCAGCCCAGGUCAAGAUCCAGGUCUCCCUUGCGAUUGGCCAGCCAAAGCCCCUCCCCUUCCGCCUCCAAGAGAUGGAGCCCAAAGCCCGCCCACAUGCGGCGAAACAUCAGGAAGCUGCUCAGGGACCACCAGCUGGAGGCAGGUACCAAGGUGGCCCAGCAGGAGGAGCUAGAGAGGAAACAUCGCCUGAGACACAGAGGAAGCAGGACAGCCCUGAACCCCUGCUACCGCAAUGCACAAGUG